rnacentral:rRNA from 1 species
UGGGGAAUCUUGCGCAAUGGGCGAAAGCCUGACGCAGCCACGCCGCGUGGGGGACGAAGGCCCUCGGGUUGUAAACCCCUUUCAGCAGGGACGAAACUGACGGUACCUGCAGAAGAAGCUCCGGCCAACUACGUGCCAGCAGCCGCGGUAACACGUAGGGAGCGAGCGUUGUCCGGAUUCAUUGGGCGUAAAGGGCUCGUAGGCGGUUUGGUAAGUCAGGUGUGAAAGCUCAGGGCUCAACUCUGAGAAGCCAUCUGAUACUGCCAUGACUAGAGUUCGGUAGAGGAGCGUGGAAUUUCCGGUGUAGCGGUGAAAUGCUCAGAUAUCGGGAGGAACACCAGCAGCGAAGGCGGCGCUCUGGGCCGACACUGACGCUGAGGAGCGAAAGCGUGGGUAGCAAACAGGAUUAGAUACCCCCGUAGUCC